UUCGCUAUUCACAUGAUAUUCUUUCACCCGAUUUAUUUACUUUCGUUUGUGAUUCUUGUGGUAACUCAGUGUUUAAGACUUUGGACACCUGUUUGGAAGGGUAUUAUUUUCACAUAUUUUCACGUGAUUCUUUCAUACCAUUAAUUUGUCAAAUGAUUCUUUCACAUGAUUCUUUUUUGUAUGUGACUCAUAUACACUGAUUCAUUUCUUUUCGUGUGUGAUUCUUUCAGGGGAUGAGUUUACUACUAAGAUGUGAUUCUUCCACAGUGGAUUUCUUUUAACAUGUGAUUCAUUCACAUGAUUCCUUUUUUCCAUAUGUGAUUCAUAUACACUGAUUUAUCUCUUUAAUGUGAUUUUUUCACAGGAUUCAUUCAUUCAUUAUAACAAUGUGAUUCCUUCACAGGAUUCAUAUAUCUUUAUAAGUGAUUCUUUACAUCAUCAAUUCAUUUUCACUUGAUUAUUUAACAUGAUUUGUUCAUUUUUACGUGUGAUUCUUUCACAUGAUUCAUUAUUUUCGCAAGCGACUGUUUCUCACACAAUUAAUUUACUUUCACAUGUGAUUCUUUCCCAUUAUUCCUCCAUUAUCAGAUGUGAUUCUUUUAUCAGAUUCAUUUACUUUCAUACCUGGUUCUUUCACACAAUUUAUUUGCUUUCACUUGUGAUUCUUGUGGUAGCUCAUUGUUUAAGACUUUGGACUCCUGCUUGGAAGGGUAUGAGUUCAAAUCCCACCCCUGCUGAGUUAUAUAAUGUAUGACAUAUUCCCAAGUUCCCCUGGAUAAGUGUGUCUACCUCAUGCUGUAAAUGCACACUGAUUCAUUUAUUUUCACGUGAUACUUUCAUACAAUUCAUUUUUUCAUAUGUGAUUCAAAUAUUCUGAUUCAUCUCUUUCCAUUUGUGAUUCUUUCACACGAUUCCUUUUUGAUGUGAUUCACCUACACUGAUUCAUUUCUUUCCACAUGUAUUUCUUCCAUACGAUUCACUUCUUAUUAAGAUGUGACUCUGUCAAACGAUUCACUUCUUUACACAUGAUUCUCAUAUGUGAUUCUGGUCAGAUGGAUUUCUUUUUAACCUGAUUACUUCACAGGAUUCAUUCUUCAUACAUGAUUCUAUACUCUGUUUUCUUCUCACGUUAUUCUUUCAUAUGAUUCAUAUCCCUUCCCAAAUGAUUCCUUACGUGAUUCAUUCAUUUUCACUUGGUAUUAUGUAACAUGAUUCGUUUUUCCCCAUGUGACUCUUCAAAACAAAUUUCUUUCUUUUCAGACAUGAUUCUUUAACAUGUUACUAACAAACCUUCACGAGUCAUUUCACAUUACAAUAAUUAGGAACUGAUCACUGGGUAAAUGUGAAAGUACGACAGAGUAAACAUCCUUUUCCUGUGCAAGAGGCGUGUGUUUACACCACCAGUGUCUAAUACCACUGAGAAACGUUCGCUUCAUUUGCAGAUUGGGUGAAAGAUAUUGAGAAAGUGUUUGCGUGCACACAUUUUAAUCUUCCCUCAAUAACAUACUUUAACCAGCACACAAUAAACAAAUAAUUAUUGAUGAAACGAAUGAAUAAAUUCUUCAAGUAUGAGUUCUCCAGAUCAUAUUUUUGUCUUUAAAUACCCGAUUGAAAAGAAUAUCAGGAGACAAAUUUCUUCUAAACUCUAAAUGCACUGCUUUCAUCAUUUUAUUUCGUUUUCAUUUAUAAAUCAAUCGUUUACACAUUGCACGCACUUACGCUUUAAGCUUAUAAUGCGUUCCAGGCAAGACUUAGUCUCAUUAAUUCAUUCAGCGACUUGCAUCCGAGACCGGAUACUACACGUAAAUAAGUAAACUACCCUGUAGUAAAUAGUUUAUAGUGAUUAUUAUUUCCGAGAACCGCACGAGUCGCUGAACGAGCGGCCUUAAUGGUCCAGAGUUAAAAUCAUCUGCAACGUGAAACCGGUUUUAGUAUAAUCCACUGUUUAUUUUGUAUUAUAUUUAUACAUUUACUACAUUCUCAAGGCAGCCGAGAUCACUGAAUUGUCACGUUUUGUAACCUCUACUUAAUAUAGAAGUUAAUCAGUCCGUACAGGAUUUCGCCGAGUUUUAUUUCGAUUGUUGCGGCCACAAGUGCGAUUUUGCUUCGGCUUUUAAAAAAAAAAAUCCGAUGCAAUUUGUGGAGACUGUGCUUUUUUUGUGUGGAAAACUACUCGAAUUGGCGAAAUCGCAGUCGCACUACAUAGUUCUGCAUGCAGUGAUGUUCGUUGGUAAACGAGACGUUUUAGCUGUACUCGGGUUCGACGCACGCGUAUCGACGAGUGCUUCGGGUGAACGCGCGUCGUGAUGACGUCACGUGACGCGUCUCGGCCCGAACCUGCGGAAAAUCUGCAGUAAUUUUGAAAAAGCUCCUCCGAAUAUCACGGUGUUUGCUUGAUUUGGCGUUCAUUUCUGCAACAGAGUUCAAGAGUAUAAAAAAAAAACAACACACUUCAUACUCACUCAUACCUUUCCAAAUGUACAAGUUAAAAUUAAGCACCUAAAAACAAACAAAACAUUUUUAAAAAUCUUUUUGCUUCAUAAUUUUAAUUCCAUACAAACACAAUAAGACUGGUGCCACAACUCUACAGAACCUCCUGAUCUCCUAAACCCCCGUCUAGUUUAAUCUUGUACAAUAUAUAUAUAUAUUUUUUUAAAGUUUAAGAUUAGCUCUAAACCGUAUUAAAAGUUGUGCCAUGACCAGUCUGGACUAGUGGCUGUGCUCCAGCAGAAAAGACUCUAGAGUUCUGGUGUCUGCCACAUGGUGGCGCUCUUACUCCUAAAUCUAACAGGAUCAGGGUCCAUCUGAGAGGAUCAACAUCAUGUAGGAGAAAAGAGCACAGAGAAGACAGAGGUGUGGUGUAAAAAUCAGGUUUUAUUCUGAACAGGGUUUGAAAAUGCAUACACACAUUUAAGAAUAACAAAAUCAGCGCUGCAAAGUAGUCGAGCUCUCGGAUUGUAAAUAAAACGCCGUACACGCGAUUUCACACGCCGAUUCGGGAUCCGGUAAAUAACGAAUCGAACGCUAACCGAGUUCUUUCCAGCAGGCUGUUACAUUUUCAACACUUCUAAGCAUUCAAUUUAGAUCGAGUAACACUAUACUGACCGAAUUAAUCUGAGACGAGUAAACGAGUCAGACAAGUCAUUACACGCCCAUGUAAAGCACCUAAACUCCUCCAACAAAACAGGAUCAGGAACCUUUUUUUUUUAAUGUUUUUUUUUUUAAAGCUUACUUUACAUGAACUUUUAUGUAAAUGUGGUGUUAAAGAUCUAAAACAGACAGGUGAAGUGUUUUACUAACAUUUGAGCUUAAGAUCACAUUGGAUCAAGAAUCAACAUUUACCAUACAAAAAAAAAAAAAAAGGUUUAUAUUUGUGAUGAUUAUGAUUUUGGGAUUGAGGUGUGGUGUCUGUCGAAGUUUUUUUUUUUUUUUUUUUAAAAGCAGGGUAUAAUACAAACCGGACCAUUACAGUAUCGUCACUGCUGGCAUUCUCACAAACGCCGAUUUCUUUCUAUCCACUACCGUCCACCAAUUCUUUUUUUUUUUUAUACCGCCAAACCAGUUUUAAGGACUUUUUUUUUUAUAUCGCGUAGUUUUCCUUGAUUUCGCGUUCAUUUCUCCGAUAUAAAUUCCGCCAUAAAAUCUCUUACGUGGUCAGUAUAAGUCGCGUCGUCGUUAUAUAUUCAGCCCAACCAGAAUUUCGCAAUUGCAGAAGACAAAACCAAGCAAACGGCGCGAUAGUUUGCCGCAGAUUUGGCCCGAGACACAUCGUGUGACGUCAUCACGACAUGCGUUCUGCAGAAGCCCUCAUCGAACAGGAGUACAGCUGAAAGGUCUUAUUUACCAACAAAACAUCACUGCAAAAGUCCAUAGAUUUAGACUUAAUUAUCACGGUCAAAAUUGCAAACCAUAACGCCUCUAAAUGUACCACACACACACACACUUUACACUCAAGAAACAUCAGCACUGCAUACUGGCCUUCUACAAAACGAUAAAGCACUCGUUCCCACCCUUAAUCAUGGAGAAUCGUCUGUUUUUCCUGCACUACACACCUCAUUCAACCGAGAAACGGCUGUUAAUUAGGCAAUUAUCUGGUUCAGGUGUGUUAGAGUAGAGAAAUCACUGAAACUUGCCGUUCACUGGGUUCUCCAGACAACACGGGCCGCUGAUGCACAUCUCUAUAACCAUUUGAAGUGUCCUGUAUUUCAAAACGAGGAGAACUCACCUGUCUGGAAACCAGAAAAGAAAUAGAAGAGGAAAGAAGAAGCAGAACUGUGGCGCAUGCUGGGGAGAAUCUAAUAAUAAACGUGUUCCGCUGUAGGUUGUGUCAUGUGACGAUGGUUUAUCCAAUUGGGAGGCUUGAUCAAGCGCUGCAUUUAGCGUCUAUAAAUGCUGGCACUUCACACAGUUAUCUUAUAGUUUCAUAAUACGAGGCAUAACAUAAACCAUGGGCACCCCUCAAAUGUUCCUGCCUGGGGUCCUCACAGUCACAAGACUCUCCUCCGUCAAGGUCCAGGGUGACGAUCUUGGUCAUGGAGAACCCGCUGUCUUGCACAUUUUAGAGUUUUCCCCUCCUCCCAUCACACCUGACUCAACUAAUCAUCUAAUGAACAUCCAUUCCUAAGCUGAAUCCGGUGUGUUGGGAGCAGAACAUCAUGUGCAGGACAGGGGGUUAGGUUUCUAGGGCCAGGGUCAGGAACAUGUGCUGUAGAUCACCGAUAUUCAGAGUCCUGACGUUUCUUGAAUAUAAAAUUGUGUCCAAUCACUGACCAUCAUUGUUCUCAUUUACAUUUAUUUAUUUAGCAGACGCUUUUAUCCAAAGCGACUUACAAAUUAGGAAAUAAAUGCAAAGCGGGAUUGUUCCCAACAUCUAAUCACCCAAUCUCCACUGUUUCCAACAUCCAAUCUCCACUGUUCCCAACAGGCCAAUCACCCGAUCUCCACUGUUCCCAACAGGCCAGGCACUGAUCUCCACUGUUCCCAACAGGCCAAUCACCCGAUCUCCACUGUUCCCAACAGGCCAAUCACCCGAUCUCCACUGUUCCCAACAGGCCAAUCACCCGAUCUCCACUGUUCCCAACAGGCCAAUCACUGAUCUCCAUUGUUCCCAACAAGCCAAUCACUGAUCUCCAUUGUUCCCAACAAGCCAAUCACUGAUCUCCAUUGUUCCCAACAAGCCAAUCACUGAUCUCCAUUGUUCCCAACAGCCAAUCACUGAUCACCACUCUUCAAUAACCAAUCCCAAUCACUGUUGUUCCCAGCCGAUCAAUCACUGAUCACCAUUGUUUGCCUCACCCUUGCACUUAUAAGCGCUCUUCUUGGAGACGCGAGUAAACAUUUCCAUCAGGACUACUUCAUUGUGUCCACACUCUUGACACAAAGUACAAUAAACACGUAAAAGUUUAGCUUGUGCAUGGCGCCAUGACCAAACAUGACUUCUUUCGAUAAGACAUCAAUUAUAUUUAGGAGAAACUAACUCCCAAUCUAUUAUUUUAUAUUCUAGUAAAACUCCAUUCUAUCCCGAAAAACCUUCCUUCCUUCCUGUACCCGCAUCGGAAACUCCACACACCAAUGAUCAGGAUUUAAUAAAAGUAAUAUGCAAAUUAACGUCUCCAUGACGUCACCCAGCGACUUCUAGCCACUUUCUGAGCAAGCUUUAGAUUCUUUCCCCUGAAAAGAGUGUUGGCAACAGAGAGAAGUCCUCUCUAACCUGACUUACUGGUGAAGCAGAUAAUGUGAUCCUGCCGCCGUGGCACGACAGCGAUUCCCUCGAUUUGUUUUUUCAGCCUAGUCAAUCUGGAUCAUUUAAUCAGUGGCCUGAAAUGACUUCUUAGACGCUGAAAAAUAUAUAAUAAGGAAGGAGACACGUUUAGCUGGGGCAAAUGAUUCAGCCUGACUUCUCUCUCUGUCUCGUCCUUACAAAACAACAACCCUGAACAGAACAGACUCCAUUUUUAUUACACAGACGCCUCCGCCAUACUGAAACACCAAUAACACCCCCGACGACAGAUUAGAGCCGUUUUUAUAAUCAUUAUUAUUUUAAAUAAUAUAGCUAAGAACAUGCUCUUUAACCAAAUACACAUGUACGUGUAUAUAGAUUAAAAAAAAACCUCAGCGACGCUGAAAACACACCCAAGUUACAUAUAACAAAGCUUUUACUGUUAGCUGGCUAAGAAAACUAGCUGGCUAGCUAACUAACCUGCUGCCUAAUGUUCGAUAAUUAGCUAGUACUUAAAAACAAACCGACAUACUAGCUCAUAAUCGUUUCAACAUCGAACAAAUUGUCGUUUUAAUGUCCGACCGAAGACAAUUGCUAGACCAACAUUAUGCUAGCUAGCUAGCUUACUUAGCAUUGCGCGCGUGCAAGAGCAAGUUACCGACACCCCCCCCCCCGUACUUGACAAAUAAAUAAAUAAAUAACUAAUAAGCUAUACUACACACCCUUUUCUACAGUAAUAACAUAACAUUAACGUGUAUUUCAGUGCUACUUUAUCAAAAACAAUCACCAUGGCAACUAAUCUCACCUAGAUACACAAAGUACUUGGCAACUUAGCCAGCAUUUGUUAUUAUUUUCUUUGUUUUCUUAAAUACUUCAGUUUCGACAAUAAGAGUUACCUCGACUGGCUAAUCGAGCGGAAUAUUAAUAUUAUUUUAAGGACGAAAAAAAAACAAGACUAAAAUUCCACCUGACGACCUAAAAGGUGACUUACAAAAUCGUCUAUUCUAGGUUUAGGAAAUCAAAUUAAAUGUAUAAACGAUGUGGGUCUUUAAAACAUUAUUUAUCGUCGAUAUGAAGACUCGGGAAUUAAUUUGUAUUAUCCCCUCACUUCACUGUUGUUGUGGAGGAGAGAGAACUAUGCUAAGCUAAGAAGCUAAAACCACGGCCGCCAUGUUGUGCUUUAACGUCCUCCUUCGAAAGACGGCGAGUUGUAGCACGAGAAAAAAAAUUCUCUAUUUUUAUUUAUUUAUUUAUUUUUUAAAAAGCGCUAAAUCAAGGUGGUGAUCAAAGUCAACGACGUGUAACGAAUAUAGUGUAGAAUAUAAAAUAGAAUAUAGUGUAGAAUAUAGAAUAGAAUAUAGUGUAGAAUAUAGAAUAUAGUAUAGUGUAACGAAUACUACAGUAUAUCAGUGACGUAGUGUAAUUUAAAUAACACGGAGAUAAAUGCUAACCUUCAUACUAUAUUAUAACGUUAGUAUUACACCCAGUGUUACCUAACGCACUUUUUUGUUUCAGACGACAAAAUACUAAUAAUAGUAAUAAUAACAACAAACACAAGACGUCUACAUUAAAGUAAAAUUCGCUAUUGUCUUAACAUAUCAUCGGAAUCAUUUCUCAAAUAGUGUUUUUUUUUAAGCUCGUCUUUCUGUUUCUAUAGAUUAGUGUUCUCUAACGUUAUCCGCUGGAGCCUUACGACGGCCUACAACGUAAAAUCUCAAAAAAAAUAUGGAUCAAAACUUAAAAUACGUACCACCCUUUUAAGCAAUCGUCUCACAAACACUAAACGAUACCUUCUGACAUUUUGUAUAUAAAAAUGAUUAAAAGAUGUAGUUGGUACAAAGCUCCAGGCUUUCCGGGGGCUUUCCAACUCCGCAUACCGAAAUUCAGUGUCAGUUGUCCGGCCAUUGCUUUAACUCGACUCCGAGGCUUCUUGCAAUUUCCCAUAAAACAGUAGCAAAUGUUAAGAAAUGCUACCAAGAAUAGCGGUCAUACUUAAAAUCAUGCUAAAGAAUAUUGUCAAAACGACUUUGAGCCGUUUAUCAUUAAAACUAAAGAAAAUGUAUAUGUUUGGAUCUUCAAUGGUUGAGGUAGGCCUUUCGCGCGAGCUUCGUUUCCAACACUCGUAGCUGGUCCAGGGCGAGACGGACGGAACAGUAGCGUUUUU
ensembl:lncRNA